rnacentral:rRNA from 1 species
CCUACGGGAGGCAGCAGUGAGGAAUAUUGGUCAAUGGGAGAGAUCCUGAACCAGCCAAGCCGCGUGAGGGAAGACGGCCCUAUGGGUUGUAAACCUCUUUUGUCGGAGAACAAAACCCGGGACGUGUCCCGGACUGCGUGUAUCCGAAGAAAAAGCAUCGGCUAACUCCGUGCCAGCAGCCGCGGUAAUACGGAGGAUGCGAGCGUUAUCCGGAUUUAUUGGGUUUAGAGGGUGCGUAGGCGGUCCGUUAAGUCAGCGGUAAAAUGGCGGGGCUCAACCCCGUCGAGCCGUUGAAACUGGCAGACUUGAGUUGGCGAGAAGUACGCGGAAUGCGCGGUGUAGCGGUGAAAUGCAUAGAUAUCGCGCAGAACUCCGAUUGCGAAGGCAGCGUACCGGCGCCAGACUGACGCUGAGGCACGAAAGCGUGGGGAUCGAACAGGAUUAGAUACCCCAGUAGUC